rnacentral:rRNA from 1 species
GAUGAACGCUGGCGGCGUGCUUAACACAUGCAAGUCGAACGGAAAGGCCAGUGCUUGCACUGGUACUCGAGUGGCGAACGGGUGAGUAACACGUGGGUGAUCUGCCCUGCACUUCGGGAUAAGCCUGGGAAACUGGGUCUAAUACCGGAUAGGACAAUGGUUUGGAUGCCGUUGUGGAAAGUUUUUUCGGUGUGGGAUGAGCUCGCGGCCUAUCAGCUUGUUGGUGGGGUAAUGGCCUACCAAGGCGUCGACGGGUAGCCGGCCUGAGAGGGUGUACGGCCACAUUGGGACUGAGAUACGGACCAGACUCCUACAGGAGGCAGCAGUGGGGAAUAUUGCACAAUGGGCGCAAGCCUGAUGCAGCGACGCCGCGUGGGGGAUGACGGCCUUCGGGUUGUAAACUCCUUUCGCUAGGGACGAAGCGUAUUUGUGACGGUACCUGGAGAAGAAGCACCGGCUAACUACGUG